rnacentral:lncRNA from 1 species
GCAUCGGAUAGUGUUAUGUCCAAACAUAACAGGGUGAAACAUUAUUGUUGGCAAGAUGACAACUUUGUUGAGCAUGAUAUGACCCACUAUUGUUCUGACACCAGCUUGGGACAUAAUUUUGAUAUGUUCAAUUGAUAAUUUGUCUUUGUAUUCUGUGUUUUCUGGUCAGGUGUUCAGUGAGAAAAAAAUUGGAUGUUAUUGUCAAGAUGGGUUGUAAAACAAUUAUUAUGGGUUGUAAUACAAUGAAUAGGAUGGCUUGAAUGUGUCGAUCAUUACUUAAAAUGUGUCGACCUUAAGAACUAUAUUAUUGACACAAUGGCCUCACCGUCGACCACUACAUUCAUGGCAUGUCCAAAAAGGAGAGCUCAAUUGGAAAGGGCUCUUCUACUAAAAGAUGUCAUAUAUUUCAGAUCUUCCAGAGGUAUAUUUUGUUUUCGUGUUCGUCUUAAUACUAAGUAAAAUGAUAUGCUUCAUAACAAACUUCCACAACUUUAUUCAGGUCACAAAUUUUGAAGAGCGGGAUGAAAUUCCGUAUAAAAUAACUCCUGAUCACCAGACAAAGUUUCAGAAAUACAUAAGAGCAAGCAAAGAGGGUGAGAUCAUUUGACCUUUUACAAUUUAUUUAAUGAAAAUAAUGUGCAUUGCCUUAUUUGAUUGUCAUGCACUAUGCAGAGUUAGAGGGUAUUAGGGCAUCUCUAAUGGUUGGGCAAAUUUGAUGGUCCACGUAUACACAUUUGAUGAUAGUUUGAUGAAAAUUUUGCUUUGAAAAUGUGCUCCAUCUAAUGGUUCAUCAACUAAAGCGGCUAAUGGAUGACCGCUUCACUAAAGCGGGCCCCCAACACCCACUUCACUUAGUUAAAGCGGCUAAUGGAUGACCGCUUCACUAAAGCGGGCCCCCAACACCCGCUUCACUUAGUUAAUGGGGCUGUCCAAGUGCCACUUAGUUAAAGCGGGCUUUGAAGUGCCAAUUUAAGCGGCACUUCAUUAGCCGCUUUAAGUGAAGCGGUCUUCUCUUGCCCGCCUCACCCAGUAUCAAACCUUAAGCUUUUCAUCAAAAUUUCAUCAAAUUUGAUGAACUUUUGAUGAUUUUUGCUAAAAUAUCAAAUUUGAAAAACUUUUGAUGGUCCAUUAGAUGGAGUUUUUUUCACUUUUUCAUCAAAUUUGAAUUUGAUGAUAGAUUUGAAGAACCAUUAGAGAUGCCCUUAGUGACCUGAUAUCAUCUUUAAAAUUCCAUUAUAACGUUGAAAAUGUAUAGGCCAUUUGGGAGAUUGUGGUGGUAUGAAACCGUAU